AAUCCGACACUGACACAAUUAGAUGCAAAAGUUCCUUUGUGUGAAGCCUGUUGUUACAUAAAAAAAACCAAAAUAUUAGAGAGAGGUUAUUGUAUCUGCUAAAUUUAUAUCUUAGAUACACAGUUAUUUUGCUCUGUGUUGAUCUUGGGCGCUUCUUUUUAUAGACGAUCUUCGUAAUUUAGUUCCGUUUUUGCCCCGGUCACAACAGUAAUGGCGGCUGCAGCGCGGCUUUUCCUUCGAGGUAUACACUCGAAAUGUUCUGUCUCUGGCGUUUCCACCGUACCACGGACCUCUUUUGGACCCAGGUUGCUGAAACUGUCACCGAGCUGCGACCCCUAUACCAAAGCGCAGCGUAGACAUGCAGCACACUUUACCUUCCAGCCUGACCUCGUCCCGACACAGUAUGGGCCAACACAGAAGAUGAAUUUGUUCCAGUCAAUUACAAGUGCCUUGGACAACACUCUUUCCAGUGACCCCACAGCAGUUAUCUUUGGGGAAGAUGUGGCCUUCGGUGGAGUGUUUCGAUGCACAGUGGGUCUUAGAGACAAAUAUGGUAAGGAUCGGGUCUUCAACACGCCGCUUUGUGAGCAGGGGAUUGUGGGAUUUGGUAUUGGUGUAGCUGUUGCAGGAGCCACAGCGAUUGCUGAAAUCCAAUUUGCAGACUACAUCUAUCCUGCAUUUGACCAGAUUGUCAAUGAAGCUGCCAAGUACCGCUACCGCUCUGGCAACUUGUUUGAUUGUGGCAAGCUCACCAUUCGGGCUCCAUGGGGAUGUGUCGGCCAUGGAUCCCUCUACCACUCCCAAAGCCCCGAGGCAUUUUUUGCCCAUUGUCCUGGCAUUAAGGUUGUAGUACCUCGUAGCCCAGUGCAGGCCAAGGGGCUGCUUCUCUCCUGCAUCGCUGAUAACAACCCCUGCAUUUUCUUUGAGCCCAAGAUCCUUUAUAGAGCAGCAGUGGAGCAGGUUCCCACAGAACACUACACUAUUACACUCUCCCAGGCUGAGGUUGUAGAGGAAGGAAGUGAUGUCACUUUGAUUGCCUGGGGGACGCAGGUACACGUAAUGAAGGAAGUGGCCCAAAUGGCCCAGGAGAAACUUGGUGUUUCCUGUGAGGUCAUUGACCUGCGCACUAUCCUACCAUGGGAUGUUGAAACUGUUUGCAAGUCAGUGGUGAAAACUGGACGCUUGCUCAUUAGUCAUGAGGCCCCAAUCACUGGAGGGUUCGCUGCUGAAAUCAGCUCUACAAUACAAGAAGAGUGUUUCCUUAAUUUGGAGGCUCCCAUUAGUAGAGUGUGUGGUUAUGACACCCCCUUCCCUCAUAUUUUUGAACCAUUCUACAUCCCAGAUAAGUGGAAGUGUUUUGAAGGAAUCAAGAAGAUGAUCAACUACUAAACUGGAAUAUGGGUCCCAAGGAGAGGAUGGCCUCGUGCCUUGGAGUUUUGCUCCUGAAGUGGUGAACUCGACACAUCAGUAAAAUUGAGGAGUAAGGUGAGAGUGAUUUCAAAGUUUGACUAAUGUAUUAAAAAGUGAUGUUUUCCCUAUUGCAUCAGGUGGUGGGUGGGACUUUGAAAUUUCUCUCAAGGAUGUAAAGUUUAAAAGGAACACAGGAAUCUGAUAAAAGGGAUGAGACUACACUUUAGUGUUGUUGAAAGAUUUAUUCUGUGAUGGCGUGACUUAAUGGUUAAGUCCCUUUUAAAACAAUAUUCAAAAGUGAUGUGUUGAAGUGUGCUGUUAGACAACAGUAAUAUACUUUCCCUGGAGUUAUUCAGGGGAGCUGCACCAAUUGUUGCUGUCUCUCGAACUGUCUGUCUAUCAUAACAAUCCUGGUUCAAGUCAUCGAUCAACAAAAUGUGGGCAAAAGGAAGAAAAAAAAAAAGGCAGCAGCCAACGAAAGUGACAUCCAAUUCGAAAUUGAAGAAGGCUUAUUAAAAAAAAGUUUGUUGUUCAUUAGCACAGUUAUUUAUUCAUAAUUUUUUAUUUUAUUUAUUCAUUUGUUAUCGUGAAAAGCAAAAUGGAAAACUAUAUACUACUGUAUAGUAUGUGAAAAUCUGUGAAAUCUAUCAGCAACUGAAAAUUGUGAAAUCUUUCUUGUACCCCUGAAAACGUACAAAUUUAGAAUAUUGGACAUACAGUACCUUGGUAAACUGGUAUGAAUACAUGUGGACAUACAACUUUUUGUUCAAAAUAUUGAUGGUCGUAAAUUCAUACUUUUGGGGGUGGCAUAGCAAUGAACUGUUAGUUUCAAAGCAACAAUGACCAGGCCUUUUUGACAGCCAAAUUUCCCCUCUUUAAGUGUAGACCUUGUAAAUAGUAUCAUUGGAUUUUCACAGCACUGUAAUGUUGCAUAUUCUAGCCUUUUACGCUGUUGUCUUUCAUAACUUUCAUAACAGUUCAGAUUUACCUCCAGAUUGUCUGUAAAAGGUAUAGUUUAUUAGGCCACUCAGAAAACCUCAAUUCAGUUAUGUAAACAUUGCAAAGUAAUUUCCCAAAUCAAUUUAAUGUUAAAUUGUAGUGUCUAAGAGUAGUUCAGAAUGAAUAAUUAGAGUUCAUUAUGAUAUGCAGUCUAGAGCAUUUAGUUAAUGAAACCUGCAUUGAGUAAGUUGUUUUGCACUACUGACUUUGCAGACCAUGUUAGUGUUUUAAUAUACAGGUACGUCCAGUUACUGAAUCCUCACUAACGCAUAAGAUGUUAAACUUUGAUAAUUGAACGCUUUUACUAAAACGCCUUUUGUACCUGUUUGGCCACCAUAACUCCAGAUUGGGGCAUAUACGACUAAGCUAAAAAAUUGCAGAGAACUGUUAUUAUUCAUGUUUUUACAUGCACUUAGAGAGUUUUGAUUACAACUUUAUAUGGCAAUUUGUGAUUCAAACAUAAUUUCUGCACCACUGCCUUUAUGGAUAUCAGAAAAUGACCACAUGUACUGUCAACACUGACAGAGGACUUAAUUUCUUUUUCUACGUUUUCCAGAUAACAUUCUUAGGAAGCUCAUGAAAUAAAAUCAGGUCAACAUUGGAGAUACUGUAUAAACUCAUCUAUCAUUUUGGUCACCGUGAAAGCCGGUCCUUUGACCACAUAGUGGUGAUGCAGCCCCUCCUUUUGGGCGGGGUGGCAAAGAUGACCUCUGCUUGGAAGGAAGGCCAUAAUACCAUCUGUGCUCGGAUAGUGUGUCAUUACACACUAUAUUUACAUAAAACACACAAACCAGGGGUGGUAGGUCCCACCAUGAAGCUCCAGGACGUGAGGGUGCUGUGGUACAUACUGUACAACCAGAGAUUAUUGGGGAUUUAGAGAACCACUUAGCCUGUCAUCUGGCCUCUUAUGCAUUUUAAUGGUUAACUGGGUCGUGUUUUACAACAUCAUUCCAAAUUCACGGCAUUUCUAGGAUUGUGUUUUUCAACAUCCAGCGGAUAGUUCAUUAUAAUGACUCCUGCCUGGGACAGUCUGUCCUGUGGUUAAACCUGAAUAUGACGAUGAACUAAAUGUUGUUUCAGAAAGAAAAUCUGAGGUGGAUGUCAAAUAAGUUCAUUUCAGGUCAACAUCAUGGAGAGUUUGUUCCCUCCCCCCCCCCCCCCCCCCCAUUUGUUUUUGGUAAUUUAUUAGAAACUCAUUCUCUGGAAACACGUUAAGCUUUUCCUGAUGAGAAAAACAGCUCAAAUGCACAGAGCAUCUUAUCAUUCCCACAGAUUUUGACAGCUCGGAUUGAAGAGGAGAUGCACCAAUUACUUCUGGUGCUUUAACUGUCCAUCAUGUCACUUCACCAUGCAAUUGAAUUCCCUUGAAAUACACUUUUUAUUUAUGUUCACCGUUUAACCUGAAUGAAAAGCUGAUCUUAUUACUAGGCAUCUGCAUAAUGAGACUGACCUACUGGCCUGUAACAGCUGUUACACUGCUGUUUAUCAUCAGGACAGCCCUCAGAAAGACUUAGCUUGACACAAAGAUCAGGCACUGGUUACACAGAUUCAUCUUCCUUCCACUGAAAAAGAAGCAUGCAUUAGGAAUGUCCAUGUAGAGUUCUUUAACCUGAAAUCUCUCAUAGUAUGAGCAAGUUGCGACAAGAUGAAUGAUUCCCUCAAAGCCACUAAAGGUUGGAAAUGGGGUUGUCUCUCACUUUUCUCUAAACCAUUGACAGGAAAUUGAUCUUGAAGAGAACUGUCUCUGUGGGAAAGUGCAGAAGCUUCAAUCGAGUCAUGCAAAAAAAAAAAAAGUACACCUCAGUCUUUGGCUGACAGAUAUCAUGGCAAGCAAAAUGCCUUUGCUAGUGCAGCAAACCCAUUUGAAAGGGAAUUUAAAAUAUACUAUCCUGUUUUCAGAGGCUAUUUUAAAACAGAAUUUCUUUGUUUUUCCGAUCUAUGAAAGUGGAAAAUGCAGGUCUCAGGGUGACAAGAGUUGAGAACCUCUCUUCUAGAUCACAUCUGACUUUGUGUUCUUGAGCAGUCUCCUGUGCAAUGGAACCAUCUGACCAAGUUUUCUGGCAGUCCCUGGUGCCUGUGCGCUUUGGUGGCAACAGAUGCGGCGGGUUCCCAUGCUCCCUCCGGCUUUUGGGUGCAGGGUUCCAGAGACGUGUCUCCACCGCAUCUGGGAUCCCAGCCCUCCCGUUCCAGUUCAGACUUGGAUUGGAUAACUGAAUUACGAGAAAGUGUUAAUGCUACACUAGAUAUUUAAUAUUUUUCCUUUUUGAUUUGAUGCCUUGGUUGGUCAUUUAUAAAAGAUAUUUGAGUUCAGUUCCUUAGACUGUGGUUCAUAUUUGUGUUAUAGAAACAAAAAUAAUGAUGUGUUACACAUACAAAUCUCACCUCAGUGACAGAAAACAAACCUUUCCAAACCUCAAAAGGGUGUAUCGUGUUAAAAAUAAAACAGUCAGUUCAUUUCCCUAUCUGUAACCUUUUGCUCUUCCAGUAAAUGGUGCGUGUAUGACACUUCACUAGAAACUGAGGGGGAAAUCAGCAUGUUUUUGUUCGAUUAAUUCAAAGCUUCAUUGCCCCAUUAAACAUUUACCUGCAUUUGCACGCACACGCACACACAGAGUAUGUACUGAAGAUGGCUUUCGUGUGGUCCACUGGCUCUUUAAGAGUAUUCACCACAGAUCUAACGACUCAAAACAUGUCUAUCUGAAUCAGUGCUUUCACUUGCACAAGAAAGCUUGUACAUGUUUUCUCUAUGAUCAUCGCCACCUUAAAUUAAGCAAAAAAAAAAAAGUGUUCUAAAUUCAACAAUUCUGAAAAUGGUUGCUAUGGGGAUGAUGGGCUGCAGGCUUGGGUGACAAAAACAUUUGGUCAGCGGGGGUAAUUUUGCUUGCAUCGCUGACACUCUUUAGACACUGAGUGCAGUUUCACUUCAUCCGAUGGGUACAGCACUAAUUUGUGUGGCAAAGAAAUGAUUCCCGACCCUAAGGCUCAUCACGUGAUGCUCACACGUGUCACAUCAAGCAGGGGGCCUGUUAGUGGAGCAAGUGUGACGACUCCCUUGUCACAGCAACUGUAUCUCAGCGGGAGGAACACGUGAAAGUUGAUGCAACGCAAAUGCCGACCAUCUGGCCAAGUCGAACAUUAAGCGGAACAGGAUGUUUUGUAAGCUCCGGCUCACGGUUAAGUUUUGUAAACAUUGAAAGCUUUUGGUGUGGGAAAUAUCAAAGUUAUGGGUAAAAUUAGGUCACUAUAGCAUUGUUGCAUUGAAUCCAGUUUUCUUUUUUACUCACAGUCAUAAUUUGCCAGAAAGCCAAGUUGUGUAGUGAGCAUUACAGUAAACACGCAAAGCCUCUGACUACUUUCUUCUUGAAGAGUGGCCAUUUUUAAACAAUGUUUCAUAAUCAUAAUAUCGUGUUGUUUUUUUUUAUUUUUUUAUCUAUACCUGUUCUAAUGCGUCAUGUUGUUUUGUUUUUGGUCUUCUGCUCAAACAAUCAAUCAAAAUGUUUUGGAAUUGAGCGAGAAAUUCUGAAAUAUAUCCCGAAUUACAUAACAGAUCACCUUCAAAUUCUGGUCAGCGUAAACAGAACGAAAAAGAGCGCAAUUAAAACAAUUAGGGGGAAACAUUCAAUACAUUCAACAGUGCUUUCGAGUCUGCGUCUUUGCUACGGCAAAAUAUGAACCACAAAUAUAUCCACUUGAGACUUUUGAGACAUGCUUUGCGAUCUGAAAUGCGUUUCAAUCUCCCAAAAAAAGUAAUGUGAAGCAUUCUAUUUUAAGGACAUACAGUUCAAAUUAAGUAUGAAGGAGUUCUCCAUCCCCCGCGACCCUAGUGAGGAUAAGCGGAACGGAAGAUGAAUGAAUGAAUGAGUUCUCCAUCCCCCAGAUGCAGCUGUGCAUACUUUUGUGGAUUACAUAAUGUUCACAUUACGUUUUUUAUACAUCUGUUCAUUCACACAUACUGUACUCAGGCCAUCAUCUAUCUGUCCAUUCACAUACAUAUCAUUCAACAAUCGUAUAUAAAAUAACAAAUAAUUUUGAAUGUAAUGCAAUCACCACUCAUCAAAAACACCUGUCGAUUUGAUGGAUUUGUGUUGUUAAAAUAUUGCAUAAAAACCAAGUACUGUGGUUUUACACUUUCUUAGGUUGUUUGUCAGACAGUUAAAUUAUUUUUUUUGGGAUCUCUCAGAUUUUAUGGGUGUUGGGAUUUGUUUUAGGGGUACUUCAGCUCUCCCCAAAAUGGGCUAGAAACACCCAUUUGUCAAAUCCAUCCAUCCAUCCAUCCAUCCAUUUUCUUCACCGCUUCUCCUCACUAGGGGCGCGGGCGUGCUGGAGCCUAUCCCAGCUGUCAUCGGGCAGGAGGCGGGGUACACCCUGAACUGGUUGCCAGCCAAUCGCAGCCAUUUGUCAAAUCAUUUUUGUCAAAAAAAAUUUUUUUUUAUUUAAUAUCCUAGACUGCUCUUUCCUCUGAUCCAAUGGAAUUAACAGCAGCAUUUAGAUUCUCCCACGUCAUUUUUCCCCUUUCGUUGGUAAUACCUGCAUUAAUUGUUUCAAACAGUAUUUUUGAGUUUCUUUCCACAAGUUCCUCAAAUAUUCCUUUCCUCUGCCCUCUUUGCCAUGAUUUCAGAGCAUGAAGUAUAGCCCGUUCUUAAAGGGAUUGCUGCUUCCAUACAGUAUAUGGUCAUUUUGAGGCAUUUCCCAAUGCAAAUGAGGCUAGUAUUACGCACUCUUUUUGAUAAAUGAGCCCCCUGGUCUGGUCCAUCCAUUUCUGUGCAGUCAGAUGGAGCCCAUACCAGCUGAUUAAUGAGGCCCCAGGUGUUGGUGUUUCAACAUAACAUGCGAUGCAGACGUUCUGCUCAAAUGUUCAACUCAUUCGAAAAAGUUGAUAAGACUUACGGCUUCUGGAAUGAAUGUAGCUGCUUUAGAAUAUUUGUCUUCAUUUGUCUUACAGUAUUAGAUGUAUUGUGGCAUGUUUAGUCAGCUGAUGUUUACCAGAUGUCUGAUCGAAAGUUCAAGUCAGCCGUCAUUCAAAUUGGAUUUAUCUUCAUCCAAAACUUUGUUGUCCAUGUGGUAAUGCUCACGCUCUGAAAGCACAAUGUGAUUUAAUGAAUGUAAACCACUUGUACCUCUUAUAGCAAAGGGUUUGAAUUUUUAGCGGCAUGUCCAAGAUAUACAAAUGUAAAUGUAAUUCAAAGAUUGGUAAAAUGUCUGUACAGAGUUAAACUGCAAUAGUUUUUUUUUUUUUCCUUCUGGUUUACAAGCAGCUGGCGAAAUAAAACAUCUCAUAUAAAAGAAUGUAGAUGAUGUGGAUACUCCAAGGAAUAGAAAUACCUCACAUUGUUAAUAGAUAUUGCAAAAUAUGCUACAGCAUACAUUUUAAGGGCAUGCAAAAAAAUAAAAAUAAUAGAAAGCUGCUGAGUUCAAUGGUCAGUUCAGUGCAUGUUUCUUGAUACUGUAGUGCUUUGCCAUAUAAACUUACAGCAAGUUUUGAUUGAACAGUGAAGCAGUGUUUUAACGUGAGAAGGGAAUGUCUACAAAAAAAAGUCUCAGCUGUAUAUUAUAGUUAAUUUUCUU